rnacentral:rRNA from 1 species
GAGUUUGAUCGUGGCUCAGGACGAAUGCUGGCGGCAGGCCUAACACAUGCAAGUCGAACGAUCCUUCGGGAUAGUGGCGGACGGGUGAGUAACACGUGGGAACGUGCCCUUUGGUUCGGAAUAACUCAGGGAAACUUGAGCUAAUACCGGAUGUGCCCUUCGGGGGAAAGAUUUAUCGCCAUUGGAGCGGCCCGCGUCUGAUUAGCUAGUUGGUAGGGUAAAGGCCUACUAAGGCUACGAUCAGUAGCUGGUCUGAGAGGAUGAUCAGCCACACUGGGACUGAGACACGGCCCAGACUCCUACGGGAGGCAGCAGUGGGGAAUCUUGCGCAAUGGGCGAAAGCCUGACGCAGCCAUGCCGCGUGAAUGAUGAAGGUCUUAGGAUUGUAAAAUUCUUUCACCGGGGACGAUAAUGACGGUACCCGGAGAAGAAG